CAAAAAGCAAAGAACACGUCGAGCUCACUGCUCACCGGACAAAGGUACCGUUUUGUAAAACCAGAGGCCAGAUUCAUUAAUUGUAAUAAGUAAAUCACCGUGGCCGUCCGCCGUCUGCAGCUGUGAGUUGCGCCGCCUGCGUCAUCACAGAAGUUAUUCCUAGCAGGUGGGUCAUCAUUGCAGAGUGCCGCAGCUGUUCUGACGCUUGUACCACCACUACAAUCGACUGAAAUAAUGGCUUCGAUGAUAGAGCAAUUUUUCUUCUUUGUCGUGGAAAAACAUCCAUGGAUAUUGAUACAAUUCAAUGAAACACAUCGACCGAGCUUCCCAGACCCAGCUUCUUCUCGAGAAAGACCGAACGCCAGACAAGAAUCGCAAAUGAAAAAGGAGGGAAAUAUAUCUUUUAGUGCACUCGAGAGCACGCUAGUCAUAGAACCUAUGGACCUGGAAACGGAUAUCAUGGACGUUUUGGGACCGCAACAGAACGAAUUUUAUUUUGGAAAUACGAGAACUGGAAAGGAACAGACGGAUCAAAAAUAUAAUAAUAAUUGGUCUAGUGGCUCUGUUCAGAAUGUUCAGAAUACAAACGUAUUCGGCGGCAGCUCGCUCAGCGGCACCAGCACUGGGGCCACACAAUAUCAUGGAAGGAGUGGGCACGGAGAAUUUUUUCCAAAAUCGCAAUGUAUCGAAUGGGGACGUCAUUUUAAAACUAGCAACGAGGAGCAAAACGGACACGACGAACCGAACCACAUUCGGGAGUUGGUCGAUUUUAAACCUUCAUGUGUAGAUCAAUUAGAAUACAAACGAAAACUACGGAGCAGACGAAGAAAUAGAAUUGAACGUAGAAACCGUAGAAUAGCUCGAUACAUAGAUUUUGUAGUAAAUAAGUAUUCUUCGGCUAGACGAAACAGAUGGGUAAAUUUUAACUCUGCGAACAAUGAAGUCGCGCCAUGCGCAACGCCGUGUGGCCAUUCUACGCCCAAAUGCUCUAUCCUGUGACGUCAUGGACUAACUUAACGUUUUAAUCUUGAUUUCCUAAAAAAAUAUUAAUGAAGCUGCAAACAUCGCCAGAUUUAGCUACUCCCCAAUAGAUGGCGCUACUGACUCAAUAGCUCACUGAUGAGUUUGCUUAACCUUUUUUUGUUAUUAUUUUUAUAAAUUACACUACGAAAGACUAAGAAUAAUAAAAACUAAAAUUACACAAUAUAAUUUUAUAACAUAACACAAGUAUGCACUAUUCCGUAUACUGUAUAGUCAGCAGGAAAGGCUUAAUAAACGCGAGUCGCGACUGACACUGAAGUCUAGGAAAUUAAUGAAGACCGUGUCUGAUGAAUCAGGGUGAGUUGAAGCGAUGAUAACGUCAUUUAGCAUUGUAUCAAUGCUUAGGCGCGUAUCAGCUUUGGCUCUCCGCAAGUAAGCUGUAUCAGAGAGCAACAUAAUGAAUUAUACAGCUCUUUGAUAAAACUAAUAACUUUGUAAGCAGUCACCGAUUGCAUGGUGUACUAUUUUCGACCUAAUUACUAUAACAAUCGGGUUUGCAAAUAGUACAUUGUCGACGACUCCUGCCACUCUCAUUCCCAGGGUCUUCAUUACUUCCAAGAAAACAAGAAGAUAUUGUAAUUUCGAAAAAAAUCUUAUUUAUCUAAAAAUAAUCAUAUUGCAUAAUUAUUAUACAUAUAUACAGCCGAAUAGAUAAGUAAUAUUGAUUAUUUGUUACUGUAUAUGGAGUUUUUAGACUUUAAAAACUCAUUUUUAUUUUUGUUGAUUGUUUAUUUGACUUUAACCGCGAUCUGGUGAAUCGGUUGAUUUAAAUAGUUCGAUAGAAUUG